AUGAAAUUUGUACCACAAUAUCCCACUCUUCAACCACCCUUCAAAUUUUGUCUUAAAUAUACUUUUUUGGAAUUGUUAAAAAACCAUUAUCUCUUGAAAAAAAGAACUCCCUCCAAUUUAUUCUAAAAAACUUCCCUCCAAUUUACGUUAAUUGGUGGGAAAACUCAACCUCAUUCCACCAUUGCCAAAAGCGCUUCGUCUCCUUGGUAUCUCAUCAAACCAACGUCCACACUGAUCGCAAGUUGCAAUAAGCCUUCUCCUAGUGUAAUCGCCUCCCCAGUCAUCGUUGGAUUUAUCACAUCGGAGCAUGAUUUCGACAUCGAGGUAAGUAAAUUUCAGUUUACUAGCUAAUAAUCGCCCAUAACCCGGAGAAUUUAUUCUGUUAUUUGAGUGCAAUAUCUGUAUUUAGCUUGGAUGAACUCAUCGAUGGAUUUAUUUGCUGUUUAUAUUCGUUAGGAUUUCUAUUAUCUCUUACUGUUUUGUUUGAAUGUCUCUGAGACUAGUCGUUUCUGAUUGCAUCCAUAUAAGAAUAGACCUGCUCUAAUUGAGUUUUGUAGGGAACGAA